GCUGACGAGUGGCGAACGGGUGAGUAAUACAUCGGAACGUGCCCAGUCGUGGGGGAUAACUACUCGAAAGAGUAGCUAAUACCGCAUACGAUCUGAGGAUGAAAGCGGGGGACCUUCGGGCCUCGCGCGAUUGGAGCGGCCGAUGGCAGAUUAGGUAGUUGGUGGGAUAAAAGCUUACCAAGCCGACGAUCUGUAGCUGGUCUGAGAGGACGACCAGCCACACUGGGACUGAGACACGGCCCAGACUCCUACGGGAGGCAGCAGUGGGGAAUUUUGGACAAUGGGCGAAAGCCUGAUCCAGCAAUGCCGCGUGCAGGAUGAAGGCCUUCGGGUUGUAAACUGCUUUUGUACGGAACGAAAAAGCUUCUCCUAAUACGAGAGGCCCAUGACGGUACCGUAAGAAUAAGCACCG
rnacentral:rRNA from 1 species